GAAAUGGUUUUAGGUCGCCCAGUACUGAGUGCCGAAUUUAACUAAAACUGGAAGCUAAUUCGGAUCCUAUGUUCCGGGCGCCCAGAAGUGGGUCCGGAAAUUCUACAUCGUGAAUAUCGAUCGCGUUGACGCGUGGCUGGUGGUAGGUGUGGGCCGCCGGAGCAGGAUAAGGGUGCAGCAUACCGCAGGCGAAGGAACCGAUGAGGGCUGUUUAUGCAGGCUGGAUGUUCUGGGCG
rnacentral:lncRNA from 1 species